rnacentral:misc_RNA from 1 species
CCUAGUUGUAGGUCAAGUGCGGCAUAGCCUUGGCCGUGACCCCAGUUUCCUGUGUUGCGUACCUACACGAUGGCAUUCGUUUGUCCAAACGUCCCUCGUUCGUUUAGUGGUCCGUUUCUCAACGGGUCACGAGACGAAACUCUCAGCAUGGCCCGUUACCCGCGUUGCAUCUAUGCCAAUGCGGUGAACGGGGCAUCGCUCGAGCUCUUGGAUAUGGAAAGCACUGAGGGCAUUGAGGUCUCACGGCCUCUUAUCGUUGCCCGAGCAUGCAUUAGACGUGAACGAUGCACGACCGUCGCUCCCGUCUCGGCCCGGCCGUGCGGUGACGACGUCGUUCAGGAAUGCUACCUGGUUGAUCCUGCCAGUAGUCAUAUGCUUGA